GGUAUGUACGUGCAAUUCAAUGUACACAUACUGUAAAUGCGCUUCACAAUUCUGAUUGGCUCAGUGAUGUCCAAUGAGCCCUUAAGAUUUUGCAUAUAUGAUCAUGGCCAGAGGGGUGCUGUCAUCUCCUGUUCGCUUCUGACUAUGCUAUUGCAUUGGCAGGUCAAGUCCUGAUGACCCUGAUGUUGGGAGUUGUCAGCCUGAUGCACUAGAGGCUCAUGAGUUUCUUCUGAGUACCUUGCAGCAGCGCUGGAGGUGGACCGUGCUGCUGCUCUGGCAGACGCAGAGAGGUGCACGGCUGCAGGAGUGGGGGAGCCGACUGCUUUCCUCCGUGCGCACUGCUGCAGAAGAGGCCUGUGACCCCGGGCUUAUGAAACGAAGUCCUUUUGGCCCGAGAGAAAUCGCUCUGACAUUGGAAAGUUCUAUUUUUGAACAAGUUUUUGGUGCUCGGUGGGAAAUUAUCUUCCCUUUGUAUUCCUCGGAAAAUUGACGGUCACAGUGCAGCUCGGAAAAGAAGCGCUCUUCUUCACUUGGCAUUCAUGAGACAUUAACAACAUGACAAAAAACAUAUUUUAGAGAUUUUAGACAUGCCAAUCAAAGACAAUGAGGUACCCAUGCAUUCAGUGGAAUUACGUAGUUACUGAUUUAAGCAGAAUUUUAGGAGAGGACAGGUGUUGUUUGGUUAUUUUAAAGCGGUUCUGCACAUUUUUGGUAAAGCAGAGUGAAGGUACUAUUACCAAAGCCAAUCUAAUUUUUUUUUAUUUCACAAAAAAAUGUUAUUGCCGCAUGUUCCUCAAAUUCAAUGUUGUAUAACAUCAAAUAGAAAUGGCCGAUAUAACCUUUACAUAACAAUUAAGAGUGCUUGCCCUCGGCCAUGAGCAGGAAAUGCAGACCACUGGGCACUGAAUUCGGGUGUACCCUGCCCCAAAAUCCUCCUCACUUGAGUCAGGGUAGCAUGAAAUUUAGGUUACCCGACAGCGCCACCAGGUGGACUGUUUCCGCCGUUACACAUUCUAUUUUCAAAAUGGAAUUUUGCCGUAACAUUUAAAUGAAUGCUAUGAAUAUGUGUUGCAUAUCUGUUUUGAAACUACAC